rnacentral:rRNA from 1 species
AACUCAAAUGAAUUGACGGGGGCCCGCACAAGCAGCGGAGCGUGUGGUUUAAUUCGAUGAUACGCGAAGAACCUCACCCAGGUUUGACAUGCACGUGGUACUGAUCCGAAAGGUGAUGGACCCUUCGGGGAGCGUGCACAGGUGUUGCAUGGCCGUCGUCAGCUCGUGCCGUGAGGUGUUGGGUUAAGUCCCACAACGAGCGCAACCCCUGUCGCCAGUUGUAUUUUCUGGCGAGACUGCCGAGAAAACCUCGGAGGAAGGAGGGGACGAUGUCAGGUCAGCGUGGCCCUUACGCCUGGGGCUACACACACGCUACAAUGGGCAGUACAACGGGUCGCGAAGCCGCGAGGUGGAGCUAAUCCCAUCAAAGCUGUCCUCAGUUCGGAUUGCAGGCUGAAACCCGCCUGCAUGAAGCCGGAGUUGCUAGUAACCGCAGGUCAGCAUUACUGCGGUGAAUACGUUCCCGGGCCUU